rnacentral:rRNA from 1 species
UUACGGCCAUAUCACCCUGAACACUCCUCAUCUCAUCGGAUCUCAGAAGCUAAGCAGGUUUACGUAUGGCUUGUGCUUGGAAAGACCAUGACCGGCUAAG